GAUUGUCUCUUAUCACGACAACACUCUAACUAGAACUGUGUUUGCUGCACAAUCCGGCAGCCCUUAUAUAGUAAAUCUGUAACAGAACAUUGCUUCUAGAACAUUCUGGCAACUACGAAUUCGCUAACUAGUUGCUUCUGGCAAUUUAUCGUUGAUUCGAUUUUGUUCUAUCAUCCGUGUUCGUCACAAUAUUAUUUCUUUAUGCUAAAAAUAUCGAUAUCACAGAUAUUGACAUUGACAAUCGUUCGGUGGUACCAUAUUCAUUUCUGCUGAGUAAAACAUUCAAUACUUCUACGAUAUUAAUGUUGAGUUCUGGAGCUCGAUGAAGACCAUCAAAUAUAUUUGCAAGAUGAAAUAACGAAUUACCAAAUUGGUCGGAUCAGCUGCAAUGAAGUUCCCUGACGCAUAUUCGGUUUUCGAAUUCAUGAACAGGAUCCAGUAGUUAUCCAUUUAUAAUAAUUGGGUCGUGGAAACACAGUCAAUCCAAGGUAGACUGAGCAUUUUUAUCUGUGGCUGUUGUUGGUUAAUAUCAACGGACUAUAGUGAUUUAAAGAUAUACGUAAAGAUAUGGACAACAGUAUCACCAGUAAAGUAAAAAAAGUACAACCGACCGUGACCAUGCGCAUUCAUAUGCUUCAGUUCCUUCUGUCGGAACUUUCUCAAAAUACUGGAUGCAUGGAGUUACCUACUGAUUUCUUCGCAAUGAUCAACUUACAAAAUACUCUCAUCGACAAUAUAUUUGCCGAUGUACACACAAAAUAUAAAAAUUUUGAAUGGUUGGCAGAAAGAGCGAAUUUGGUAGCCAAUGUGGACAUCAAUGGAUUGAAUGAUAUAACAGUUGUUGGCAGGGGACUUAGUGUCAUACAAAACUAUCGACGCCAUAGAAGCUGUGAAUUAUCCAAUUGACUUUUUGAAUGCAUUGGAUAUGUUGGGCAUGGGUUGGAUCUCCGGUUAUUUUGCUUCAUAAUUUGAACUCUCAUAAAAUAAUAUUGUGUUAGUGCGUUUACAGUUUGACAAAGCGAAUCAGUGGGUCUGGGCCGGACUGAAUAUGUGCACUUGCAAAUGAAUGUAUUAAAAUUAUAUCAGGUUGAGUGGCAGCUAGAUUAUAGUUGGACAAUUUGGAAUUUAGAAAAAAGGAAUAGAUACUUUUUUAUCGAGUAAGAAUUAGUGUAAUUGAACACGUAAAAUAUGGACCUCCGUUUGCAUCAACAACCCAUUCAAUCAACAGCUGGUCCAUUUUGCAUGCAAUGUUUUAGGAAAAUUUCUUUGACCAAUAAAUGAACAGAGUUUUUUUCAUUGUAGCCACAAUCACAUUAAGUGACAGCGUUGCUAAAUAGUUUACCGACUGUUCUCCAAGUUAUCGAAUCUGGUAACACUAAACAGCUGUAAAAAUGGACAAGUUCAGUGUUGCCAGCAGGAAGAUGUAUCUUCUAAAUGAAGAUUUGUUUAUAAAAAAUAUCAUAAAAAUUUUAAAGUGAAUAUAUUAAAAUAAAAAUUUCAUGUAAAAAAUCUUCAUCAUCAAGAUAUCUCGUAAUACUUAAAGAUUUCUCUUCUCAAAUUUGUUCGAUUAUUGAACAACCUCAUUAAAUUUGGUAGGCAAAAGUUUUUUUCAAUCCUCUUAUGUAGGCAGGUAGGUAGAGUGGCUGUCUGACGACGCACCUAUGCCCAUAGGAGGCCCAUUGUGAUGCCACCGGGUUCUAAUGUUCCCGCACUCUAGUCUUCUCUCUGAACCAACCCGUGCUUCUGAUGAAGUUCAUCUGUAAAAAUAGUUUUAUGUGAGCAACUUCCGAGCCGUCGUCCAGGAACCCUCGACCGAUAGUUGCGAUUAUUUUCGUGUAUAGAGCCUUACAUUCACAUAAAAGAUGUUUUGCAGUCUCCUCUUCUCUUACAUCCUGACAGCUUCUACCAUAGUCAUUGUAAGGUGCACCUAGCCUGCUGCCAUGUCUACCAAUUAGACAGUGACCUGUUAACACUCCUACCAGAGUUCUUAUGUCAUUCCUUUUGAAUUUUAAUAGUCGGUUUGUGCGGCCCAUGUUCCUUUUACGCCACGUUUCCCGGCUAGUUGAGCAAGUCAGGUAUUGCCUCCACCGAGACACAGCUAGAUUUAUAACAUGUUCGUUGAUUAAAUGUUUACAAGUGACCAGAGACAUAAAACUUCCCUCAUUUUCGGAGUCUACUUGAAGAGUGCUUUGGCUAGUUCGUCUGCUUCGCAUUUACCAGGGAUAUCCCUAUGCCCUGGAACCCAUUGCAGAUUUAUCGAGAUCCUCUAAUAGAUCAAGACAUUCUUACACUAUUUUUGAGGAAACCCUAGGAGACUUCAGUGAUUUCAAAGUCGCUUGGCUAUCCGCACAAGCGUUGUAAGCACACUUUUUGUCAGAACAACAAGGCUUUCUUUGAUUGCUGUGAUCUCCACUUAGAAAACACUGCAGUGGACUGGUCAACGGAAGGCGGUGUUGGUAUCUAAAUUGCUGAAAAGACACCACUUCUCACUAGAUUAUCUAGUUUGGACCCAUCUGACUAUCCCUGCAUUCCUGUCCACCUCGUCCCUCUUUUCUAAGUUUAGUUUCAAUUUUAUUGGAGUGGGAAAAUUCGUGGCAGUGGGUAGAUACGGGAACUUACUAAGUAUCUUAGAAUGCCACUUACGGCUGGCGACUAAUUGGGGGGAUUCUCUCAAUAGACCAAUGAUCUACCCGAGGCGUUAGCCCUUAUUUGGGCCCACCCUCCUUUUGAGGGGGUAGAGUGCUGUAGUUGCUCUCUUCCCCCUAGCAUCUACAAGGUGCUUUCCAAAGUAAACAGGACUUAAAAAAAAACAGAACAAAUGGUUUUAUCGGCUUCUGCUUUAAUACAGCUUUUUGCACGGUCCAAAAGCAUGUUGUACGAGUGUUUUAGCUCGUUGCCCGGUAUGGCCGCCAGUAUGCCGGUGCAAGCCUUUUGAAUGGCCUCCACGUCAGCAUAUCGCUUUCCUUUCAUCGGCAAAUGCAUUUUUUCGAAAAGGUAGAAGUCGCACGGUGCCAUAUCAGGUAAGUACGGGAAGUGGUUGAUUGUUAAAAUACGAUUUUUGGUCAAAUAAUCGGCCACAAGCGUCGAUCGAUGAGACAGGGUGUUAUCGUGCAACAAACGCCAACUUCCAUCUUCGCGAUAUUCGGGCCGAAUACGGCACACCAAACGCAUCAAAACUCCAAGGUAGAAUACCGCGUUAACGUUUUGGACGGGUGGAACAAAUUAUUUUUGGACAAUAAUAUUUUAAUCAUAUAAACAAAUCAGCAUUGUCUUCACUUUUGACUUCUCCAGGCGCGAUUUUUUGGGUUUCGACUUUGAAAACGUUGAAACCACUCGUGCACUCUGCUACGGGAUAGGCAAUCAUCGUCAUAAACUUGUUUCAUCAUUUGAAACGUUUCGGUAAAAGUUUUACCAAUUUUAAAACAAAAUUUAAUGUUGGCUCUUGGUUCGAAGCUCAUUUUCGCACCGAUGACAAAAACAUACUGACACUUAAAACUCAAUAACGUCACUUCCAAUAGAUGAAAUAUCAUGAAAUUUCUAUGUUUGGUCUUAAGAUCUUUUAAUUUAAAAUACUUGAUUCUAUUUUUGUUUUGCAAUGCAUUACAUUAUAUUCAUACCAUUUUAUACUUUGCAUAUGUUUAGUGAUAAUAUAUAUUUUAGCACAUAAGCCUGAA